rnacentral:sRNA from 1 species
AGUGAUGACACACAAGAUGGAGAGAGUGGUGGUGACGACCAGUUUCCCGAGCAGGCAGAGCUGUCAGGGCCAGAGGGGAUGGACGAACUGAUCUCCACUCCUUCGGUUGAGGACAAGUCUGAAGAGCCACCAGGCACAGAGCUCCAGAGGGACACAGAGGCCUCCCACCUUGUUCCCAAUCACACCACCUUCCCUAAGAUCCACAGCCGCAGAUUCAGGGAUUACUGCAGCCAGAUGCUUAGUAAAGAAGUGGAUGCUUGUGUUACCGACCUACUCAAAGAACUGGUCCGUUUCCAAGACCGUAUGUACCAGAAAGAUCCAGUCAAGGCCAAGACUAAACGUCGACUUGUGUUGGGGUUGAGGGAAGUUCUCAAACACCUGAAGCUCAAAAAACUGAAAUGUGUCAUUAUUUCUCCCAACUGUGAGAAGAUACAGUCAAAAGGGGCCUCUGCCUUCGAUAUAAAAUCAUAGAUGGGUGUGUUGCUAAGAAAAAGCUCUUUGCAACCAGUAUUAACACCACACUCCAUGUGACAUGUCUUCCUGUCAUUUUUCAUUGUCCUUUGACCAGGUGGGCUGGAUGACACUUUGCACACAAUUAUUGAUUAUGCCUGUGAGCAGAACAUUCCCUUUGUGUUUGCUCUCAACCGCAAAGCUCUGGGGCGCAGUUUGAAUAAGGCAGUUCCUGUCAGUGUGGUGGGGAUCUUCAGCUAUGAUGGGGCCCAGGAUCAGUUCCACAAGAUGGUUGAGCUGACAAUGGCGGCCCGACAGGCGUACAAGACCAUGCUGGAGAAUGUGCAGCAGGAGCUGGUGGGAGAGCCCAGGCCUCAGGCACCUCCCAGCCUACCCACACAGGG